CCUCUACUUACUGCGGCACUGUGUGUGCUCCUUCUCUUGAGCUGUUCUGAGGUCUCAGGACAUUGGUUUGGAGCUGUCUGGCGGGCUGCUGCUCUAUGGCAUCAGGAAUGGAUCAUUAGCAAACUCAAACUGGAUUUUACUCAACGAGAUUUGACAACCUCAUGCCCAGCGCAAGAAGUAUGAAGUAUCAAGACAGAAACAAAGGCCCUGGAAAUAUUUUCAAUUAAUUUGAUGUGAUGAUGAACUAGUAAAAUAAUUUACAAAGGCC
rnacentral:lncRNA from 1 species